CCUACGGGAGGCAGCAGUGGGGGAUAUUGCACAAUGGGGGAAACCCUGAUGCAGCGACGCCGCGUGUGUGAAGAAGCGCCUCGGCGCGUAAAGCCAUGUCAGCAGGGAAGAAAAUGACGGUACCUGAAGAAGAAGCCCCGGCUAACUACGUGCCAGGAGCCGCGGGAAUACGUAGGGGGCAAGCGUGAUCCGGAUUUACUGGGUGUAAGGGGGGCGCAGACGGCGAGGCAAGCCAGGAGUGAAAGCCCGGGGCCCAACCCCGGGACUGCUCUUGGAACUGCGUGGCUAGAGUGCAGGAGGGGCAGGCAGAAUUCCUGGUGUAGCGGUGAAAUGCGUAGAUAUCAGGAGGAACACCGGUGGCGAAGGCGGCCCGCUGGACUGCAACUGACGUUGAGGUCCGAAAGCGUGGGGAGCAAACAGAAUUAGAUACCCUUGUAGUC
rnacentral:rRNA from 1 species